rnacentral:lncRNA from 1 species
AGGUACUCCAUUGUCUGACGGAUCUGAGAACGCUGUCUGGGCUUCGUGCCAAGGGCUGGUAUUCACACAGCAACGACGGCCUCACAGAAGAGCUGUGGGAAGCAGGAGGGCGAGCCUCUCUUAGGGUGCCACUACUAUGGAGACACAGCUGGGCUGAACAAGAUUUGCUUCAAACGACAACAAGAGAGACAGAAAGUAUCUGAUUCAACCGCUGCCCAAGCAGGCAGGCACCAGAAGAGCUAGCAGCCAAUCCGGCCAUGCUCGAAGCCAGUCCUGCAGCUCAGCCAAUCAGUGACAUCAUUGGACAUCUCUUCAGAUUGCUCAUCAUGAUAUGAAGAUGAAACUUAAUAGCAAUAACCAAUGGAUGCUUUUCUUGGAUUCAGUCCAACACUCUGGAGACCAGAUCUUCAGGAAUGUAACUGGGAUAAUUGUCCAAAUUGAAUCCCAUACCCUGUCAUGGUACUGAUUAUUAAGGUGACUAUAUGAAAGGAUCACUCCAAAAUAACAGUAAGUCUUAAAUAUUUGGUAGUUCUUUAAUUUAAUUUGCUAGUUCCGUAAUUUAAUGUUGCAUUGUCAAUACACAUAGACUCCAUUGGGUGGCUUUCCCUAUUCUGAUUUUUUAGGUCUGUAUAGGAUGUAAAAAUUGAGCCAGACCCUAGACUAUAAGGUACUUAUGACAAGCUGAAACAUUUUAACUCAACUUUCAUUUAUAAUAGUUUUGAAUUUAGCCACCUACAGUGCGGCCUUCUUUUUGAAGAAUGUCAAUAAAAGUAAUUACUUUCCUGUUCAAUGUCCGUUUUCCCUGAAAGCUUUAUUUUCCUUUUGGAAUAAAUGGUUUCAAAAUCAGUGACAUUAAAGCAACACCAAGGAAUUGUUUCCCUCUACUGUGUUGAAAAUUAUAAUAUUCAUGCUGGAAAUUGCUGUUUAUCAGAAGAGAUACUAAUUAAACUUAAUAAAAUUUGAUGAUAGCAGUCCUUUCUGUAUUGAGAGUCAAGACUCUUCUUAGUUGCUAUAAGAUGCUUACAACUAAUCUUUACACACUGCUAUUGUUUGUUUGUUUGUUUGUUUUUGGUUUUUUUGAAUUAUGACUCCCAAUUUUCUUAUAAUUUGUAACAAAAUUGACUUCUGGCAAGGACAGAUUAUAAUAGAUAGAUAAUUCACAUAGAUAGAUAUGAUAUAUAUAUAUAUAUAUAUACAUAGAUAGAUAGAUAGAUAGAUAGAUAGAUAGAUAGAUAGAUAGAUAGAUAGAUAGAAAUGAUAGAUGAUUACUAGAAGAAGAAAGGAGGAGGAAAGAGGGAGGCAGAAAGAAAGAGAUUGAGAGAGGGAGAAUCUCAGGUACAAUAGAUGGUAAAAUAUUGCAUUUUUCAUUGGUGCUGGAAAAUAGUUAGGGCCUACAAGUGUGAAUAAGUACUUUACCAGAGAAUUAUAUUCCCAUUGCAAAUAUCAAAUUUUUUCUUCUUAACCAUUAAAAUAACUUAAAUGUGUGUUUUGGCUGAAUUGACCUUUACUUUUAUUAAAUGCUGUUUUAUUUAAACAAAUUUAUGUCUACUCUUGACAUUAAAAUAUUCUUUUCAUUCAUAAAAUAUCUUACCAAAAUAUACUUAAUGAUUUACUCAAAAAA